rnacentral:misc_RNA from 1 species
GAUGAAGAACGUAGCGAAAUGCGAUAAUUAAUGUGAAUUGCAGAAAUCCGUGAAUCAUCGAGUCUUUGAACGCACAUUGCGCCCCCUGGUAUUCCGGGGGGCAUGCCUGUCCGAGCGUCAUUGCUGCCCUCAAGCACGGCUUGUGUGUUGGGCCUCCGUCCUCCUCCCGGGGGACGGGCCCGAAAGGCAGCGGCGGCACCGCGUCCGGUCCUCGAGCGUAUGGGGCUUCGUCACCCGCUCUUGUAGGCCCGGCCGGCGCUUGCCGACACAUCAAUCUUUUUUCCAGGUUGACCUCGGAUCAGGUAGGGAUACCCGCUGAACUUAAGCAUAUCAAUAAGCGGAGGA